rnacentral:lncRNA from 1 species
UAAACUUCAAAUAACCCCUUAUGGUUUCACAUUUUUUUCACUUUAGUACUUUAUGGAUUAAAGUGUACCAAGUUAGCUCCUAUGGUUUCGCACUUUCUCACUUUAGCAUUCUGUGAUUUAAAGUGUAUCAAGUUUAGAGAUGUCAACGGGUCGGAUUCGGGGCGGAUUUUUAAAAACCCGAACCCGAACCCGACUCCAAACCCGAGACCCGAACCCGAAUCCGAACCCGACGGAUUUUAAAAAUCCAUAUCCAAACCCGAACCCGACCAAAAAUCCGAAACCCGAACCCGAACCCGAACCCGAAAAUUUGAACCCGAAACAAUUAUUUCAUUUUUCAAUAUUUCAAAAUAUAUUAUAUUAAAUUUAAAAUUUUAAAAUACAAAUUCAAAUAUAACAUCAAAUUUUUAUAUAUAUAUUAUAUAUAAUACAAAAUAAAUUCGGAUUCGGGUCGGGUUCGGGUUCGGGUACUGUGGUUUCAUUUUUUUUUUUUAUCCAUUUUACUAAUUUUUUUUGUUAAAUUAGUGGCAAAGUUAAAAUUAAAUGGUACUAAAGUGAAUAUUUGAUAAAUCUAGGUAGGAUAUCUAAAAUUUUUUGUAUAUAAUUUAACAAAAUAUUAACGGAGGAAAAAAAAAAUCAGUGACAAAGUUAAAACUAAAAGGUACUAAAAUAAAUAUUCGAUAAACUUAGGUGGGAUACUAAAGUUUUUUGUAUAUAAUUUAAUGAAAUAUUAACAGAGGAGCCGAUGAAGAGAGAAAAAUGAAGCCACAUGAUACUAAAUUGAUAUGCUUUGAACCACAAGGUACUAAAGUGAGAAAGUACGAAACCACAUGAUACUAAAUUGAUACAUUUUAAAGCACAGGGUACUAAAGUAAAAAAAGACAAAAUUACAGAGAUGGUAUUUGAAGUUUUUUCUUAUUUUAUUAAGCACAUUCCAUAAAUUACCCAUCUAAAUUCUAUUGCAUAAGUUUCAAAAUUAAAUCUUUACAUAUUAAAUAUAUUUUAAAAUAUUGUUUAAAGGCUUAAUUAAAUUAUACUAUAUUAUACUUUAUAAAUUCUUUCCACUUCCAAAGCUUUACUUUUUGAAGCAUCAUUCCAAUUUUUUCUUUUUUCUUUUCAAUUCCUACACUAUAACUAAU